UACAGAGGGUGCGAGCGUUAAUCGGAAUUACUGGGCGUAAAGCGCGCGUAGGCGGCUUGUCAAGUCAGGGGUGAAAUCCUGGGGCUUAACCCCAGAAUUGCCUUUGAAACUGUCAAGCUAGAGUGUCGGAGGGGAUAGCGGAAUUGCUAAUGUAGAGGUGAAAUUCGUAGAUAUUAGCAGGAACACCGGUGGCGAAGGCGGCUAUCUGGACGACAACUGACGCUGAGGCGCGAAAGCGUGGGGAUCAAACAGG
rnacentral:rRNA from 1 species